rnacentral:lncRNA from 1 species
GGAUUAGGGAUUAAUAUUUAAUCGUACAAGAUAUUUAAAUAAUAUAUAUACAUAUAGAGUCCGGCUGCUAUGCUAUCGAUAGCACCAAGCAGUUGGUGCUAUCAAGUUUUCUGUCGUUAGAUUAACCUCUUUGAUUAUUUUUACCCGUUAGAUUAUACUAUUCAACCAACCACCCACUCAACCCUAGGGGGCCCACAUCAUCCUAACCACACAUCUUUUAAUCCAAUGGUGGAAAACUUAAUAGCACCAAGUCAUUGGUGCUAUUAAUAGUAUUUCGGCCUAGUUCUAUACAUAUAGAGAGAGAGAGAGAGAGUCCGGCCGGUAUACUAUCGAUAGUAUAGAGCAUUUGAUGCUACCAAAUUUUCUGUCAUUAGAUUUACCUCUUUUAUUAUUUUCAUCUGUUCGAUUAUACUAUUCAACUAACCACCCACCCAACCCUAGGGGGCCCACAUCAUCCUAACCGCACAUCUUUUAAUCCAAUGACAGAAAACUUAGUAGCACCAAGUCAUUAGUGCUAUUAAUAGUAUUCUAGCCUAGUUCUAUACAUACAUAUAUAUAUAUAUAUAUAUAUAUAUAUAUAUAUAUAUAUAUAUAUAUAUAUAUAUAUAUAUAUAUAUAUAUACUUGAGCUAGAAUGUUAUUAGUGCCAAACAGGCUCUGUUGCACCCAUUUGCUUUCAAUGAUGGAGCCUCCAAAUUGAUGAUCGGUACUGUUAUACGGGCUCUAUUAUUGCCAAACGGGCUCUAUAUCACUUGAAGUAUUUAAAAACUAAAUUUCAAUUCUUUUCGACAUCUUUAACCUAAUGAUCAAAAGGUUUUAAAAUUUAUAAUUUUAAUGGUCAAUAUAAAGCGUUUUCUCAUUUAACGGCGUAAAGAUAUCUAAAUUAAUUAAAUUUGGUUAGAAAAUUUUU